rnacentral:rRNA from 1 species
AACGAACGCUGGCGGCAGGCUUAACACAUGCAAGUCGAGCGCCGUAGCAAUACGGAGCGGCAGACGGGUGAGUAACGCGUGGGAAUCUACCCAUCACUACGGAACAACUCCGGGAAACUGGAGCUAAUACCGUAUACGUCCUUCGGGAGAAAGAUUUAUCGGUGAUGGAUGAGCCCGCGUUGGAUUAGCUAGUUGGUGGGGUAAUGGCCCACCAAGGCGACGAUCCAUAGCUGGUCUGAGAGGAUGAUCAGCCACACUGGGACUGAGACACGGCCCAGACUCCUACGGGAGGCAGCAGUGGGGAAUAUUGGACAAUGGGCGCAAGCUUGAUCCAGCCAUGCCGCGUGAGUGAUGAAGGCCCUAGGGUUGUAAAGCUCUUUCACCGGUGAAGAUAAUGACGGUAACCGGAGAAGAAGCCCCGGCUAACUUCGUGCCAGCAGCCGCAGUAAAAC